UCUGCGCUUGUGAAGGCGAGGCUCGAGGCCGGCGACAGACCUCUCAGCGACAGAGGGAGGUUAGGCUGGCGGCAGCCGCUGUGUCUGGGGCUCUGUUUGAGAGACGAAAGGCAGAAAGCUGGCCCCAGUCCUCCAUGACGGACUGGCACCUCUCCAGGUACCGGCGGCGUAGCUCCAUGGCCUGCUGGGAAAUGUAGUUCGGCCCCAAAUAGCCAACGGGAGACCGCCAGGCGCGGCGGUGGCGACGGGGCAGUCCCACUCCCAUCCCACCCACACCCCACCCCUGCGGCUCGGCCGGAUGUGGGCUGCCUCGCGGACCGGAAGAUCUGCGCGAGGCGGCGGCUGUUUCCGCCAGAGCGUCCAGUGUGGGUCAAAGGACUGCAGAGGCGACGCGGAUCUGGCAGGUGAUAUAAAGGCAGCGAGACAUUCUGACCAGUGUUUGCUCUGCCGCUGAAAACCACCCAGGCUGCUCAAGACGUGAGCGGGAUCUCCCUGAGGACGUGGAUUUACUCGCAGCCUGACCCCUAGGAGAGUCGAUGGCACAUGGUUUGGAGAGGGCUGGGAGGGCACAACGCCUUUCCCGACACAUGGUCCUCCAGAUGUCCCACCCCUCACUUCCACAUACCGGCCUGCAGAGCAUCGGUAAGCUCUACAUCCAACUUGAACUCAGUUGAACUCAGAAUGCUUGAACCGGCGCUUGAACUCAGAACCCGGCGAUCAAAAGUCACAUGCUCUAUGGACUGAGCCAGCCAGGUGCCCUAAACACAUAUUUUGGACACCAUGCCAGGAUGCUGGAGAAAGAAGGGUGAAAAAGGCAUAGGUGUCCUUUGGAGCUCAUGGCCCAGUGUGGGGUUCUAGAAGUCACUCCAGAGCUCACGCAAGUCGUAUGUGUGGUGAGCUGACUUCUGCCACAGUUAACUGCUUCUGUCUUUCUGCAUACCCUGAUUUUUAUCCCCAACUUUUUGUUUUGAAAAAUUUCAAACCUACGGAAAAGUUGAGAAGAGUUACCUGGAUUCACCAACUGUUCACAUCUUCCAGUACUUGGUGAUUCUCUCUCUUACAUACACACAUGCAUGAAGUUUCUUUUUCAUUUUUUCCCCCUCUGAACCAUUCGGUAAUGAAUCUCAAACAUUAUCAGAUAUUACUCCAAAUACCAGAUACCCUAAGUACUAAGAACGAGGAUAUAAGGAUACUAUUUUAUUUAUUUUAAUGUUUGUUUAUUUUUUGAGAGAGAGAAUGAGCAGGGGAGGGGCAGAGAGAGAGGGGGGGAGACACAGAAUCCGAAGCAGGCUCCAGGCUCUGAGCUGUCAGCGCAGAGCCUGACAUGGGACUCGAACCCACAAACUGCAAGAUCGUGACCUGAGCUGAAGUCGGAUGCUUAACUGACUGAUCCAGUCGCCCCUGACUGAGCCAGCCAGGCGCCCCAAGGAUAUUUUAAAUACUCAGAAUACAGUCAUCACACUCUGCAAAAUUAACAUCAUUAUCAUAGUUUAAUGAAUCCAUAAUCAGAUUUCUUCAGUUGCCGUGGUGAUAAUGUCCUUGACAGCUUUUCCCCCUUCCUGAUCCGGGGCUGAGUCAGAGAUCCUGCAUCACUUUUAGUUGUCACAUCUCUGUGGCCUGCUUGUAUCUAGAACACUCUCACACUUACCCACCUCUUAAAGUUCUGUCAAGACAAUGUUUUUGAAAAGUGCGUUCCAAGCAGAAUGUCCCUCAGUUUAGAUCUGUCUGGGUGUCUCCUUGUUACUAGACUGAGGGUACAUGCAGGCAUUCCCUGGGAUGUCUGUAUUUUUUCUUUGUAAUUAAUAAGUAGCCCGAGUGUGUGGAAAUGUCUUUCACCCCAUGAUUUUGGCAUUUGGCGGCAGUCCUUUCCUAAAUCAUUUGCUACAAUGGUAUAUGCAAAGUGGUGACUUUUCUGUCACUUAGUCGGUGUCAUUUGCAAGUCGUGGUUUAAACUUUCUGUCUUUGUCAUGAAAUUUUCGGCUUACAGAUGUUUGGUUGGUAACACAGCUCCCCUCCAACGGCGCGCGCGUGCUCUGUACCAGGCACGGCUUGCUUUCUACGCAUGAUCUCCUGGAAUCUCUGCAGCAGCCCUUAGGGCAGGAUUCAUCAUCCUCAUUUACAGCCAGGAUUAGUGGUUUAGCGACUUGCCCAGUGACUCAGCCAGGAUUCAAACUCCCUCUUUUAGCCACUUUGCAAUAUUGUCCAUCUGCAUGAUAUGUAUGUAUGUAUGUAUGUAUGUAUGUAUGUAUUGCUUAUUUUUUAGAGAGACGGAGACAGAAUGCGAGUGGGUUAGGGGCAGAGAGAGAGGGAGACACAGAAGCAGAAGCACGCUCCAGGCUCUGUCAGCACAGAGCCCGACACAGGGCCCGAACCCGUGAGCUGUGAGAUCAUGACCGGAGCCGAAGUCGGAUGCUCAACCGACUGAGCCACCCAGGCGCCCCGUGCAUGAUAAUAAUUUAUUAUUUUACUAUUCCUCACUAACCAGUAAUGUCACUUUUUCCAGCUGACCAAGGAGGCUCAAAAUGGUCAUUCUGACCACAGGUCAGUUACAACAUUCUGAUGCCUGGCAGGACAAACAGCACCGUGUGUCACCUGCCAGUGUGUGACCAGCCUGGGAUCGUUCUUAGAUUGAGUUCUGCUUAGAACUCUGCUUAGUUGAGUUUUUCUUAUUGUCCAGUCAGUCCUCGUACUUCGUAUUUUUACAGAGUAUCCAGUGCUUUUGGUUCUCUGGAUCCUCCUGAGAAAAAUAACCCCAAACCCAACAUAUUCUCUAAAAAAAUGGAUGGAUCCAAAUGCAUAUGUGUGAUGCAGAUGUUAGAUGUGUGAUAUUCUCAGGUUGGGCAAGAAGGGUGUUGACUGUGCGUCUCUGGGACCAGGACCUGUACAAGCUUCCAGAAGGCAGUAACACAGCUACCUCGCAGGCAGCCUCCCCCUGCCGAGACAGAAACCAAAUAGUACAACAACAUGCCCUGUCUUCCCUUGCCGGGAAACUCCUUUGAGCUGAGGCUCACGUACAAACGACAGGAUUGGGUAGGAAGUUGGGCUUUCCAGUCCACAGCAGGAUAUUUUGCAAUUGCAGUGAUAAUUUUGCAACACGGGCAUUUCUGGAUCAUGGACUUAUAAGGUAGUGUUUUGACCCCACUGAGGCCUCUAGGUCAAGAGAAGAUCACUAAGCUUCCAUUUUUUGAGGUUCCAGUAAUUUUUUUUUUUUUAAUGAAAAAACAUGCAAAGAAGAUUAUAGCCCACCCACAGAGGGCUCAAACUCAGGAACCAUGGGAUCGUGACCUGAGCCAAAGUCAGAUACUCAACCGACUGAGCCACCCAGGUGCCCUUCUCGGAAUGUCUUUACAAUGUUUGAGGGGGGGCACCUGGGUGGCUCAGUCAGUUGAGCAUCUGACUUCGGCUCAGGUCAUGAUCUCACAGUUUGUGGGUUCGAGAACCGCGUCAGGCUCUGUGCUGACCGCUUGCUCAGAGCCUGGAGCCUGCUUCAGAUUCUGUGUCUCCUCUCUCUGCCCCUCCCCCACUCACACUUUGUCUCACUCUGUUUCUCAAAAAUAAAUAAAUGUAAAAAAAAAAAUUAAAACAAAACAAAAAAACAAUGUUUGAUUGAGGGGCACCUGGGUGGCUCUGUCGGUUAAGCACCCAUCUUCGGCUCAGGUUAUGAUCUCACAGUUGAUGAGUUAGAGCCCCAUAUCGGGCUCUGCCCUGACAGCUUGGAACCUGUUUCCGAUUCUGUGCCUCCCUCUCUCUCUGCCCUUCCCCCACUGGCACUUCAUCUCUUUCUUUCUCUC